rnacentral:lncRNA from 1 species
AAAAAGAUAAAUUUACCUGAUGCGCAAUUAAUGGUAAUAAAUAAAUAAUUAACGAACAAAGUAAGGACAGUUGUCCAUUAGGAUUUUGAUCAGGAAAAAUUCGUAUCAGAAAUCUAACGAAUUUGUUAGAGAAAAAAAAGUGUUGUUGAAAGUAUGUCAGACCUCUUAGAGACAUGGUCAAGUAUCUAACAAGUACAACAAAGAAGUGGAACAAAUUUCAUCCCCUCUUCUUCAUUAUGUAUUCUAAUUAUCCUUCUAUUACAGUUUGUAAAACGUAUUGUAAAUUAUUCAUACGAAAAUAGUACGACAAUGAUUGCAAUCUAUCGAUUGCAACGUUAAAAUAUUGCCACCCCUUUUGACAAAUUAUAGUUCGAAUAAUACAAAGAAAGGUAAAGUUGUUUUUUUUUUUUAUAAGCGUGAAUACACCUGGUAUUUCCCAACAAUUCAAAGAGGAAAUAAAAAACUUAUAUUUUUCGAUAUGAAAAACAUGCGCAGAAAGGGUUUAUUGAUUGCAAUUCUUUCUCAGUUAACGUUCGACCAUCAUAAAGAACACUUGCUUGAUAAAAACCAAUACUAGUCAAAGUAAAUUUUUGUUAGAAAAUUAGAUUUAGAAAAUGUUUUCGUAAUUAAAUAAAAUAAACUUAUCAACUUUUGGAUUCAUAAAAAGUACCUGUAAUAUAUUUACAAUACUAAUAUGCGAUACAAUGUCAUCGCUAUGAUUUAUAAGCAUUUGUCCAGUAUAAAAAGUAACAUAUGUAAUAAAUAAUGACGCUACCAAAUGAA